UUCCUACGGGACGCAGCAGUGAGGAAUAUUGGUCAAUGGACGCAAGUCUGAACCAGCCAAGUAGCGUGCAGGAUGACGGACCUCCGGGUUGAAAACUGCUUUUAGUUGGGAAUAAAAGGGGGCUCGUGAGACCCGUAUUGUAUGUACCAUCAGAAAAAGGACCGGCUAAUUCCGAGCCAGCAGCCGCGGUAAUACGGAAGGUCCGGGCGUUAUCCGGAUUUAUUGGGGUUAAAGGAAGCGUAGG
rnacentral:rRNA from 1 species